CAGCCAUUUCGCAAAGAUUUCCGUACAGAGCAUCAGCUCAGAGAGAAAUAGCGCAGAAUUAUGGCAGGGACGACGGUAAUGUGGUUCUUUUGUGAUGUUUUAUUCAUUUUAACAUUAUCGGUGAACACCAGCACCAACACAUCCGGGUUUGCUGGAGAGUGCGGAGACAUAUUACCAUUCAAAAAGGUCAAAAAUUUCCUCAGUUGGAGAGAUGCACAAAAUGCUGCCACAAUUUUCAUUGUCCCUUUUGUAUGCCCAGUUUAUUUAAGCCCUGCAGACCGGACAAAGUCAAAUUACACUUGAAAAGCCACCGUAACAAAGCAGUUGUCCAUGGAGAUUUCACUAUUCACAGAUGUGGACUGGGCUGUAGAGCAUCACUCCAUUACCACUGUAUGUACUAUACCAACAACAAUUCUUAGGAGAGGUGAUUUUAAAAACAUAUUUUCACGGAUAUGUGUAAACGUGAAUCAUUUUGAAAACAUUGUCGUGUAUACGUGAAAUCAGACUAACAGCAUAUGCAAAGAUGGAGUUUGAGACGGUCCGCACAUGUAAAUGAUAACUGUUUGUGUGGAGCAGCAUUUACUGUGAACGGAGCUGCUCUGAGAGCCACAUAAUUUGCGCGCAAAUAAAUGAAGCACAGAUUAAAGGAUUAGUUCCUGAUAAUGUACUCAUGUCAUCCAAGAUGUUCCUGUCUUUCUUUCUUCAGUCGCAAAGAAAUGAAGGUUUUUGAGGAAAACAUUCCAGGUUUUUUCUCCAUAUAAU